rnacentral:rRNA from 1 species
GUCCACGCCGUAAACGAUGAUAACUAGCUGUCGGGGGCCAUGGGCUUUCGGUGGCGCAGCUAACGCAUUAAGUUAUCCGCCUGGGGAGUACGGCCGCAAGGUUAAAACUCAAAGAAAUUGACGGGGGCCUGCACAAGCGGUGGAGCAUGUGGUUUAAUUCGAAGCAACGCGCAGAACCUUACCAGCGUUUGACAUCCUCAUCGCGGAUUCCAGAGAUGGUUUCCUUCAGUUCGGCUGGAUGAGUGACAGGUGCUGCAUGGCUGUCGU